GUUCCUUUUACGGCCAGUGGAGCGGCGGGAGCUCCCUUUGAACCCUCCCGAUUGUUUUUGAAGAUUUGGCAUUGGAAAAAGCUAACCCAAGUUGCUUGGAAUAUUACGUCCUAAAGGGGGACAACCCCCCCUGGCUAACCGUUCUCCAUGUAUUGCCUUUUCAAAAAAUCAAGUUGUUUGGGAAUGCAGCUCACAGGGGGGGGGAAACUCCCUCUAUAGCUAAAUACUGGGGAGAGACCGAUAGCGAACAAAUACUGUGAAGGAAAGGGGAAAAAAACUUUUAAAAAAAAGAGAAAUAUUAUGUGAAAUUGUUGAUUGGGAAGGAAAUGAGUGGAAAGUGGCCGAGGUUUCUCCCGCCCCUCCUGGGCGGGGGGGGGCCGACGCCCAGUCAUCGAUAGCGAGACGAGGGUUACUAAUGGGAGCGCCUUUCGGGCGUU
rnacentral:rRNA from 1 species